rnacentral:rRNA from 1 species
UGGGGAAUAUUGGACAAUGGGGGGAACCCUGAUCCAGCCAUGCCGCGUGUGUGAAGAAGGCCUUAUGGUUGUAAAGCACUUUAAGCGAGGAGGAGGGUACUGGUAUUAAUACUACCAGGUACUGGACGUUACUCGCAGAAUAAGCACCGGCUAACUCUGUGCCAGCAGCCGCGGUAAUACAGAGGGUGCGAGCGUUAAUCGGAUUUACUGGGCGUAAAGCGUGCGUAGGCGGCUAAUUGAGUCGGAUGUGAAAUCCCCGAGCUUAACUUGGGAAUUGCAUCCAAAACUGGCGAGCUAGAGUAGGGCAGAGGGGGGUGGAAUUUCCUGUGUAGCGGUGAAAUGCGUAGAUAUAGGAAGGAACACCAGUGGCGAAGGCGACCACCUGGGCUCAUACUGACACUGAGGUGCGAAAGCGUGGGGAGCAAACAGG